CGGCGGGAGCGUGCGCGGCUGCACCCAUGGGUGGCAGUUGGGGUGAGGCUGCUUCUUGGGGUCGUGGCCAUCCAGUGCCAUCAAGGGUCCCAGGCGGUGUCUGCCAUCUACUGAGGCCAGGUGGACGGCCCUCGACUGCUCCGCAGCAGAUGAUCUGUAAGAUGGCCUGGUCAAGGCUUCUAGCAGACUCGGAUCUCUCUCUUCAGUCCAAGUGCAAAUGCUGAACACACCAGUCUCCUGGGGCUGCCGUCGGGACACUGUCGCUUCCAUGUAACUGAUGGGCUACCUUGUCAUGUGCCAUUGCUGGGGGGGUAUGUCAGACCCUUCACAGUUCCUGAAAGCACAGCCUCCCAACCCCCAACAGACUCUGCCCUGUGUUCCUGCUCCAGCUUCAGCAGCAGAAAUCCCAGGAUGUGAGAGCUAGAAGACACCUGAGAGAUGAUCCCUUCCAAGGACGACAGGUUCUUCUGGGGACUCUGCAGUGAAGAGGAAGUGGGAACUGAGGUGGUGGCCUGCCCACACUGACAUACCUGGUGAAGGUGCAGCAGAAUUUGAACCCAGGCCUUUGCACCACAGUUCUCUGAGCAGGUUUCGGUGCCGUGUUGUCUGCUUCCAGAACAAGGAUCUUCACUGUACAUCAGGACCCAGGCCCCUCUGACAUCUCCUGAAUGAGAAACAAGGGAUUUAAUAAAACGGUGUAAAAUUUGUAGUUCA